UACGAAGGGUGCAAACGUUGCUCGGAAUUACUGGGCGUAAAGCGUGCGCAGGCGGUUAUGCAAGACAGAUGUGAAAUCCCCGGGCUUAACCUGGGAACCGCAUUUGUGACUGCAUAGCUGGAGUACGGCAGAGGGGGAUGGAAUUCCGCGUGUAGCAGUGAAAUGCGUAGAUAUGCGGAGGAACACCGAUGGCGAAGGCAGUCCCCUGGGCCUGUACUGACGCUCAUGCACGAAAGCGUGGGGAGCAAACAGG
rnacentral:rRNA from 1 species